rnacentral:rRNA from 1 species
AGUGAACGCUGGCGGUAGGCCUAACACAUGCAAGUCGAACGGCAGCACAGUAAGAGCUUGCUCUUACGGGUGGCGAGUGGCGGACGGGUGAGGAAUACAUCGGAAUCUACUUUUUCGUGGGGGAUAACGUAGGGAAACAUACGCUAAUACCGCAUACGACCUACGGGUGAAAGCAGGGGAUCUUCGGACCUUGCGUGAUUGAAUGAGCCGAUGUCGGAUUAGCUAGUUGGCGGGGUAAAGGCCCACCAAGGCGACGAUCCGUAGCUGGUCUGAGAGGAUGAUCAGCCACACUGGAACUGAGACACGGUCCAGACUCCUACGGGAGGCAGCAGUGGGGAAUAUUGGACAAUGGGCGCAAGCCUGAUCCAGCCAUACCGCGUGGGUGAAGAAGGCCUUCGGGUUGUAAAGCCCUUUUGUUGGGAAAGAAAAGCAGCAGGUUAAUACCCCGCUGUUCUGACGGUACCCAAAGAAUAAGCACCGGCUAACUUCGUG